rnacentral:tRNA from 1 species
GCGGGUGUCGUAUAAUGGUUAUUACAUCAGCUUCCCAAGCUGAUGAAGGCGGUUCGAUUCCGCUCACCCGCU